rnacentral:lncRNA from 12 species
GUGCUGUAGUUGACAUGUCAGCAAUGUAUGAAGGAUGGCGAAAGUUCACUCCCGGGGUAUCUAGAGUAUCAUUAAGCAUUCCUGCUUACAUUUUGGCUUACUUAGCAAUAAAAAUUUAUUUACUGUAUCCAUAAAACUUGUCUCUAGCUGCCUAAGGAACUCUUCAUUCAGGUUGACUCUCAGAAGAAUCGAAGGAAUUCUUGAUAAGCAGUGACUUUCUCUUUUCUGAGCAGCUUCUUCAGCGGGCAAUGAAAACUUAAUGAAGAUUUUAUAAAUAAAAGAACAGACCCUAGGGAAAAUGGUGAUACUUGUGUCUCACCCAGGAAACAUCUACAGCAAGCUACUCCUUAGACCUUCCAAUCUUCAGCCAAAGCCUCAGAGAAAGACCCACGACAGCUGUGUGCUAGCGCAUAGCAGGUGACAUCCGCAGUGAGGUCUGGCAGCAGGAGGGAAAGGAGGAGAGAGGAGAGGUCAGCAUCUCAGUAUCCACCCUCCACCUCGCCACCACUUGCUCCACAGAUGCAGGACUCCGAGGCAGCAUCUGAAAGUCAUCCAUUUCCUCCCCGCCUUCCCUCUGAAAUGCUUUUCUUAAAAAAAAUGCCCCACGGAUCUAAAUAAGGUUUUUCUCUGAGUAGAGGGAUUUCAGUCUGGUUCUCUGUGUACUGUAGGUAUAAGACCUAAGUGAAAAAUAUAGAGGAGUUAAGAGUCACACAGGAGGCCUUUUUACUGUCUGCGUGUUUUGCAUUUCCCUCCCUAGCAAUAAAAUAAAUAAAAGAAAACA